rnacentral:lncRNA from 1 species
GUUUUUAAGUGGAUCUUCGCUGAGGACUCAUCAAAAACACCUUGUGUAAUGAAAAACCCAGAUCUAUAACCUCUCCCUAUAUAUUCUGCAUGCAUUGAAGUAGGCUCAAACCCUCAGGGACCUGGUAUAGACGCAGAAUCUGUUUCACACAACAACUGCUAUUUGAAGGAAAAAAAAAAAAAGAAGCAAAUGAUACCAAGACAAGCUCAUAACAGAGAUCCAAUCAGCAGAUGUGUACGGAUGAAAAUACAGUGAGAUGAGUCAGAAACCGGCCAAGGAGGGUCCCAGACUCUCCAAAAACCAGAAGUACUCCGAACACUUCAGCAUACACUGCUGCCCGCCGUUCACCUUCCUCAAUUCCAAGAAGGAGAUAGUGGAUCGGAAAUACAGCAUCUGUAAGAGCGGCUGCUUCUACCAGAAGAAAGAGGAGGACUGGAUCUGCUGCGCCUGCCAGAAGACCAGAACCAGCCGCCGUGCCAAGUCCCCUCAGAGGCCCAAGCAACAGCCAGCUGCGCCCCCCGCGGUGGUCAGAGCGCCAGCCAAGCCACGGUCCCCUCCGAGGUCUGAGCGUCAGCCACGGUCCCCUCCGAGGUCUGAGCGUCAGCCACGGUCCCCUCCGAGGUCUGAGCGUCAGCCACGGUCCCCUCCGAGGUCUGAGCGUCAGCCACGUCCCCGCCCAGAGGUCCGACCACCGCCAGCCAAGCAGCGUCCCCCUCAGAAGUCCAAGCAACAGCCGCGCAGCAGCCCCCUCAGAGGGCCAGGCGCCAGCCGUGGGGGGUCCCCCGUCAAAGCUUCUAGGUUCUGGUAACACCAUCUCUUCCCUUUUGUUCCCCAGCCCUAAGAUUGAAAAGGAAGAUCAGGCCAACCCCAAAGAAGAAGUGACCAAGGAGGAGUUUAAACUGAAUGAACAACCUCGGCUCCUGGACUCAUUGCUUCACAACCCAUCUACCCCUGGAUGAAGUUAUCUGGCUUCAAAUAUUAUGCAGGGGCAAACACCUGCUGAUGUGGCAACUGCUGAUGCUCAUGGUCCCCAUGGCAUGGGGGCCUCAGGGCAGCCUGCCUGGAGUACUUUGAAGAUGUCAUCCCAUUGUCUUCUGACCUCUAUAAUUGCCACUGAGAGAUCUGCUGUCAGUCUGCUUAUCCUUCCACGGACUCAAGUUUCUUCAAUCUGAAGAUACAUGUCUUUCUCCAGGGACAUGUGGAAAAAAAAAAGAUGUUAUACAACCAUCAAAGUGGCAAAAAUAAAAAAAAUCAAGUAUUGGCAAAGAUGUGGGGAAAAUUCUCAUAAGCUACUGAUGAGAAUUUAUAAAUUAUUAUGACACCUUUGGGUUGCAAUCUGGGGAUACUGGCAAAGCAGAAAAUUGUACAACCUGUGAUCAAGCAAUAAUAAUUUUAGGCACCCAUCCUAGAGAAAACUUGAAUUCAUAGAAAAAGUAGGUACACGUAAAUCUGUUCAAGGAAUCAUUGUUUGGCAUUGAAAAUAGGAGAGAGAUCAUGAGAAAUUACCAAAAUGUCCACCAAUAGAAUGAGUGAAUCACCUGUGGUAUAUUUAUAAAUAAAAAUAUUAAAUAGAAGGUAAAACAAAUCAGACAUACACACAUUAGAUAGAUAAAUUUAGAGGACAAAAUAAGGAACAUGAAAAGCAAAUAGUAGAUGGCAAAUGUAAUAUAAUAUACUAUGCAUAAAUUUUAACAACACACAAUAUUAUAUUGCAUAUUGCCCAAUAAGCAGAAGCCAUAAGGUCUCACACUUUUCUUAUAAUGCAAUAGAAUAAAAAUGACAACAAAGUAAAAGGGUAUCCCAAAAAUAAAACUAUCCUUUUGGAAAAAAAAAGAUUUAAAAUAAUUCCUGGUUUGAAGAAAUAACAAAUUAAAAGCUAUAUAUAAACGGUUAACAAUAUUAGGUGGACAUAUUUGUUUGAAGAGAUAGGUGAAAGAUAGUUGAAAAGCCUGGGGGUAUAUUCAAGGUUAUAUGUCUUAGAAAACAAAAAUACUUGUUUGGGUUCAGUUUUGGAUCUGGGCUUGUUCUUGUGGCUUCUGAUGAUUUCUGACUUGGGGAAAAAUGGGGAAGAGUUGAAAUACGUCCUUCCACCCAAACCUUUGUUUAGUAAUAGGUAGGAAAAUGAAGAAGAAAAUAGAAUGUUGCAGAAUGUGGAGGGAUGUAAAAUGGACAGUACUAGGGUAGAGGGGAAGUCAGAUUAGAGGAAAGAAAGAGCAUCAGGAACAGUCUUGUGCUAGGAGCUGGUGUGGCCAAGCACAGUCGGAUGCCCAAAGAUCCAACAAGGCCAUGGCUCUGUGUCCUUGAGUGGGCACAACCAUUCCUAGCCAAGUUUAAGAGGCAAGUAAAAAUAUAGGGGCAAUGUCAGAUGAAGUCUUGUUCAGGGUAUGGGGCUAGGAUGAGAGAGAAUGCCACAGAGUAUGAAGGAAGAGUGAUAGAUCCAGAUGAGAUACAGCUCAGAGUGCCACGCCCCCAGAAAGAGGAAUCAGGCAAGUACUGUCCCAAGGCAGCUGGAGGGUGAGGGCUGAGUGCCCUGGCUUCCUCACUUGGGGAGACCAUGGGUCUCUGUAGAAAUUCCAAUAUAAAGGCAGGGAAAUUUGACUGCAUGGAGUCUUCAGGUAGAAAUGUUUCUCUUGCCUAAAUUCAGGUGCUAAAUAAACAACAAAAUGGUAACCUCUACUAUGAAGUGUUUCCAAUGAUGGGAUAUCUGAGGCCAUUACAUUCCUGGGAAUAACAUGGUGAGGUGCAGGGUGGUGGUGGUGGUGAAACAUACGACAGACCACUGUAAGUGAGAACAAAUUACUGGCCCAGCCCAACCCACACCAAAUAAGAAAUUUAAUAUCCCUUUGGCCUGUUUUAGAUUUUGGCAAAGCCAGGCCCAUAGUGCUUGCUGGGCUCUCUCUUCCACAUCAUCCAGAAGACACACAUUUGCUAUGGAAUGAUUGUGGAGGUGAGAGUAUAGUGCAUAUUAAUUCAUGCAAAAAGUUAGAUAUUAGCCCAGAAAUGUUAGUAACAAGAAACUACUGAAUUCUCUGUUUGUCUGUUGUGGAAAUAAAACCUUCUGGGGAUGAAUCAAAACUAUCUGACAAUUACUUGAAAUGGGUGAAUAGCUAAAUGUAAUGUGCCUUGGAUAUUAUAACUAAAAGGUGCUAUAAUCCAGUUAUAUUUUUUAUCUUUUAAGGAUUGGUUCUGAGGAGCACUACCAGUAAAUAUUGCAAAAAUUACAUAAAGCUCCAAAAGCUACUCUGUGUAAACUUCUUGAGUGGGAAUUCUCAACCAUAAUAUCUGGAAUAUGACUGAUAAUUCUGGAUGUUAACUGAUUUUAUGUUCUGAUGUUUUGACUGGUUUUGGGAAAAAUUUUGGGAAAAAAGAGUUUUCCUCGUAAAUACCCAACAACUGGGUCUCUGGGUAAAAAGGCCUAAUUUAUAGAGAUUGCUAAUUUCCAUGGUGUAAAUAUUUCCACAAUGCAGAUUCCUUCCUUCCUUUUUUUUUUUUUUUUUUUUGAGAUGGAGUUUCACUCUUGUUACCCAGACUGGAGUGCAAAGGUGCGACCUUGGCUCACUGCAAUCUUCACCUCCCGGGUUCAAGCCAUUCUCCUGCCUCAGCCUCCCAAGUAGCUGGGAUUACAGGUGCCCACGACCAUGCCUGGCUAAUUUUGUAUUUUUAGUAGAGAUAGGGAUUCACCAUGUUGGCCAGGCUGGUCUCAACCUCUGGACCUCAGGUGAUCCACCCGCCUCGGCCUCCUAAAGUGCUGGAGAUUACAGGCAUGAGCCACCACGCCCGGACCAUGAUGCAGAUUUCAAGCUAUGAACAUGAUUCUCUGGAGUUUACCAUUUGUCUUUUAAUUGGCAAAUUUGAUGCAGAAUUGGGAAGAGAAGCACACAAUUGACUCUCGUCAGCUGGCACAAGCUGGUGCCAGUGCACCACUGUAUAUAUCCAUGGCCCUCUGUGAAGCUAGAGUUUACUACUAAAAUUUGUGCUCCAUAAAUAUACAAAGGCACUAGUAAGAGAAAAAAUAUAAAGAGAAUAUAAACUAAAUUCAAAUUAGGGAGCUCAAAUGGAGAAAAUUGACAGAUAAUAUUUUUGAAACUUUGAAAAGUAGUAUUUGUCUAGAUUCACCUUUUAUUACCUUUUCCUUUUUUUCUUUUCCUUUUUUUUUUUUUUUUGAGACGGAGUUUCUCUCUUGUUACCCAGGCUGGAGUGCAAUGGCACGCAAUCUCAGCUCAUUGCAACCUCGGCUCACUGUAACCUUCACCUUCCGUGUUCAAAUGAUUCUCCUGCCUCAGCCUUCCGAGUAGCUGGGAUUACAGGCACCCACCACCAUGCCCAGCUAAUUCUUUGUAUUUUUAGUGGAGAUGGGGUUUCACCAUGUUGGCCAGGCUGGUCUUGAACCCCUGACCUCAGGUGAUCCACCCACCUGGGCCUCCCAAAGUGCUGGGAUUACAGGCAUGAGCCACCGCGCCCGGCCUGUUAUUAUCUUUUAUUAAGCAAACAGCGUAUCUAUGUAUCAUACUGAGUGUUCUGAGCUGUUAGUUUCUUUGGUGUUCAUCUAGAUGGAAGCUGGGGCUUCCUUCCUUUCAGAUAUUGGUGCUAACAUGAAGCUGACCAAAGAAUUGAUGGGAUCUGCACACUGUAAAGCCGGUUUCAGGAUGGCUGAGCUGACGGUCAAGAAAGAAGAGAAGAUAUGAGCCGCCUGCAUUUUGGGGUGGUGGCAGUGAAAUUUAGACUUGUGAUUUGGUAUGACAAUAUAUGGCUUUUUGUGAUUGUUAACAUUAAUGAAAACAAGAAAAAUUAGUUGCUCAAAAGUUGAAAAAUGGAUUCAUAAACUUUUUAUUAGAGUAAGGCAAAAGAACAUAUUAAAAUAGAGGUAAAUUAGAAAUGUCAAUAAGAACCCAUGGACAUUUUUUAUAAGGAGACUUUAUCUGUUCUGUCCCUACAGUGAUUUAUGCUCUUGGAUAUUUUUGCUGUCAUCCUGACAAAUUCUAGUUGGAAUAUGGAACAAGCUUAUUUGUAGACCUAGUGCCUGUGGCUUCUAAAGCAAUUUUCUGAAAAGAGAAACCACUGCCUGUUGGAAGAAUAGUUGAUUCCAUACCUCAAGCUAGGGAAAAAAAAUCAGAAUUAGUCUGUGAAUUCUAGAUGUUGAGAGAAAGCAGGGUUUCAUUAGGGCAUCGGAGAGUCACAAGUCCAUAGGAUGCAAAAAGGAAGAUGAAAUAAAAUUGCCUGAAAAACGCACCUGAAUUUCUGGCAUUGUUUACUGAAAAGGCUGUGUAUUGAUGAACCCCAAUUAUGUGAGGUCUACAUUUAAGAGUUUAUAAUCAACAGUUUGAAAAUGCAGGGUGUUGUUUCUUUCUAUAAGGAGACAAAACAGUCAGAAGGGAGUGUCACAGGACAUUAUCACAAAAUCAAAGUUCUCCAUGAAAUGUGGUUCAUUUGCUAGAAAAUAAUGCAAGCCUAUUGGAGAGAAUCAGGGCUUCUAGUGAUGCUAGGGAUGACCUUAAGCAUUGUUUGUAAAUCACACUUUUUCCUAGUCUUUCAGCAGCAGCUGCACAGAGUAGGCCUGCUUCUUCCCAUGAAAGCCACACUGAGUUUUAUCAACUAGUAGUGUGUGGGCACUAUUGCAAGUUAUGUUGUGUUGUUUAUGGCCAUUUAUCCAACAGUGCUUUCCUCUGUGCGGGGCUCUGCAGCCUCGUUCUAUGUUAUUUUUAUUACCACGUGUCUGUGCGCCUCAGGUGGCAAAGCAGAAUCAGCUUCUCUACCCUCAGCAGGGCUCACUAUGACUCACUAUAAGGGAAGAAAAUCUUACAGAUGUCAGAAAAUGUUAGGUAAGUGGACAGUGAUAAACACAAAACAGCAAGUGGUCAGUAUCAAAGAGAAAAACAGUAUGUUGGUGAAGGAGAAGUAUCAAAGCUAGUUAAAAAAGUAACAGGAGAAAUGUAAAGGGACAAUACUCCACAAAAAUUUAGAUUGUAACUGAGCUUCUUCUCCUAAAGAGAUUUAAAAAUAAAGUAUAGGAAAUACAUGAAGAAACAAAGUAAAAUGCCAAGGUGUAAGUUUGACCAUGAAUAUCUAGGGAAAAACAUACUUGCACUAAAACAACCAAAUAUGCAAAAAUCAAGUGGAAAAACAGGUCAAAAUAAUGCCAGUUGAUGUCUGUAAGAACUAAAUGUAUAAUAAAAUGAGCAAAAAAAAUGGCCAGUUUAACACCAA